rnacentral:rRNA from 1 species
GCUGGCGGCAGGCCUAACACAUGCAAGUCGAGCGGUAACAUUUCUAGCUUGCUAGAAGAUGACGAGCGGCGGACGGGUGAGUAACGCGUAGAAAUCUACCUAGUAGUGGGGGAUAGCCCAGAGAAAUUUGGAUUAAUACCGCAUACGCCCUACGGGGGAAAGCGGGGGAUCUUCGGACCUCGUGCUAUUAGAUGAGUCUGCGUCGGAUUAGCUUGUUGGUGAGGUAAUGGCUCACCAAGGCGACGAUCCGUAGCUGGUCUGAGAGGAUGACAGCCACACUGGAACUGAGACACGGUCCAGACUCCUACGGGAGGCAGCAGUGGGGAAUAUUGCACAAUGGGCGCAAGCCUGAUGCAGCCAUGCCGCGUGUGUGAAGAAGGCCUUAGGGUUGUAAAGCACUUUCAGCAGUGAGGAAAGGGGUGUCGUUAAUAGCGCCAUCCUGUGACGUUAACUGCAGAAGAAGGACCGGCUAACUCCGUG